rnacentral:lncRNA from 1 species
GCCACUGGAAAAACAGGAGACACGAGCACUGAAGGCAACCAGGAGGUUUUUAAGAAGCAGGUGGAAAUGAAAACAAGAAAAUGACUGAAAUGGAAAUCUCAAAAACAAGAUUCUCUAGCUUGAUGGCAAGGUAACAAGGAGCAUCACCCAAACAAUAAAGAAGACAUUGAUUGGAAAAGAUCCCUUGGGCAUGUGACAGAAAUAAAUGAUCCAGGGAGAGGGGCUCUUUUCCCACUGUUCUACAAUUAAAAUUCUAUGUGGAAUAUAGCAUUGAAGAAAUAAAUCUUACAGUGUUUAAUCAGAGAAGAUUCAGGGAAAUAAAUCACUAAGGAAACAGUGAAAAAUCUUCUUACAAUGAAUGCAUAAAGGAAAAGGUAAA